GGGGAUGCAAUGGUUUCGACGGGGUAUGGAAGCCACGAAGUUCGCAGGCCAAUGGUUAUGAAUGCCUAAAGCUUGACCACGCAAAAUUCAACUGACGAAGCUGAAUACGCAUACGCUGCUUGAGCCUAGCUCAACAGCCCCUCUGAAAGCGCGAGCCGUUAGCGGGCACGGAGGUUUCAAAUAAGUACGGAUGUUUUCUGGCUUUUUAGAAAAGCCAGUGGUGGAGAACUCUGAAUCCCAGGGUUUCGCCCUUAUGAUGCCUGCAUGCUCAGGCUAUUGCGAUAACGCUUUGUGAUGUGGAUGUAUUUCGGACAGGAGUUCGAUUCUCCUCAUCUCCACCA
rfam:Mitsuokella sp. oral taxon 131 str. W9106 genomic scaffold Scaffold22, whole genome shotgun sequence.